UACGUAGGGUGCGAGCGUUUAAUCGGAAUUACUGGGCGUAAAGCGUGCGCAGGCGGUUCGUUGUGUCGGCGGUGAAAGCCCCGGGCUUAACCUGGGAAUGGCCGUUGAAACUGGCGAACUGGAGUGUGGCAGAGGGGGGUGGAAUUCCGCGUGUAGCAGUGAAAUGCGUAGAUAUGCGGAGGAACACCGAUGGCGAAGGCAAUCCCCUGGGCCUGCACUGACGCUCAUGCACGAAAGCGUGGGGAGCAAACAGG
rnacentral:rRNA from 1 species